rnacentral:rRNA from 1 species
AUUGAACGCUGGCGGCAGGCCUAACACAUGCAAGUCGAACGGUAACAGGAAGCAGCUUGCUGCUUCGCUGACGAGUGGCGGACGGGUGAGUAAUGUCUGGGAAACUGCCUGAUGGAGGGGGAUAACUACUGGAAACGGUAGCUAAUACCGCAUAACGUCGCAAGACCAAAGAGGGGGACCUUCGGGCCGUCUUGCCAUCGGAUGUGCCCAGAUGGGAUUAGCUAG